rnacentral:misc_RNA from 1 species
AAAAGGUAAACAAUGCAUGUGCUUUGCGUGGAAAGACACUAAAUAAAAAGAGACAAGCACUUGCAGUAAUAACAAUACAGGUAAGUAGUAGACUGGAGUGGAGACGACGGAAAAACAGGUAAUAAAAGAGAUACUACACUGGAACAAAGACGAGACAAAACAGCUACAGGGAAGACUAGAAGCAUCGGCCAGCAUAGCAAAACACAAUGCUUGUAAAGACAUUGCGUUGCAUACCGGCCGACCCCGUCGUCCCCCCUGGUCGUCGAAAUUGGCGUCAUCCAGAGUCGUCAGAGGUAGCUGCAAUUAGCACCUCGUCGUCGUUGUGGCUGUGGCUGCCCUCUUGGAGAACCAGUGGCACUGGUCCGGCCACCAGCUGGGAGCCAGGAGUAGACGGCACAUAUAUUACUGUGGCGACACGGGUCCGGCCGCCAAAGUGAAAUGGAUGACCAUAGGGCACUCUGAAUGCCAUGGCACUGGAUCCGGCCACCAGCUAAGGACGAUGGCGAUGGCAUAACUCGAACGGCACAGGUCCGGCCGCCCAAGUGCAAUGGAUGUUUGUGUGUGUGACCAUAGGGCACUCUGAAUGCCAUGGCACUGGAUCCGGCCACCAGCUAAGGACGAUGGCGAUGGCAUAACUCGAACGGCACAG